rnacentral:rRNA from 1 species
GCCAACGUCCAUACCACGUUGAACACACCGGUUCUCGUUAAACAACGUCGGGCGCGGUCAGUACUUGGAUGGGUGACCGCCUGGGAACACCACGUGCCGUUGGCU